UACGGGGGGGGCAAGCGUUGUUCGGAAUUACUGGGUGUAAAGGGCGCGUAGGCGGCCUGCUAAGUCACACGUGAAAUCCCUCGGCUCAACCGGGGAACUGCGUGUGAUACUGGCGGGCUUGAAUUCGGGAGAGGGAUGUGGAAUUCCAGGUGUAGCGGUGAAAUGCGUAGAUAUCAGGAGGAACACCGGUGGCGAAGGCGGCCCUCUGGACGGUGACUGACGCUGAGACGCGAAAGCGUGGGGAGCAAACAGG
rnacentral:rRNA from 1 species